CCUACGGGGGGCUGCAGUGGGGAAUAUUGGGCAAUGGGGGAAACCCUGACCCAGCAACGCCGCGUGAAGGAAGAAGGUUUUCGGAUCGUAAACUUCUAUCCUUGGUGAAGAUAAUGACGGUAGCCAAGAAGGAAGCCCCGGCUAACUACGUGCCAGCAGCCGCGGUAAUACGUAGGGGGCAAGCGUUGUCCGGAAUGAUUGGGCGUAAAGGGCGCGUAGGCGGCCUGGUAAGUCUGGAGUGAAAGUCCUGCUUUUAAGGUGGGAAUUGCUUUGGAUACUGUCGGGCUUGAGUGCAGGAGAGGUAAGCGGAAUUCCCGGUGUAGCGGUGAAAUGCGUAGAGAUCGGGAGGAACACCAGUGGCGAAGGCGGCUUACUGGACUGUAACUGACGCUGAGGCGCGAAAGUGUGGGGAGCAAACAGGAUUAGAUACCCCUGUAGUC
rnacentral:rRNA from 1 species